GAUGAACGCUGGCGGCGUGCCUAAUACAUGCAAGUCGAGCGAACAGACGAGGAGCUUGCUCCUCUGACGUUAGCGGCGGACGGGUGAGUAACACGUGGAUAACCUACCUAUAAGACUGGGAUAACUUCGGGAAACCGGAGCUAAUACCGGAUAAUAUAUUGAACCGCAUGGUUCAAUAGUGAAAGACGGUUUUGCUGUCACUUAUAGAUGGAUCCGCGCCGCAUUAGCUAGUUGGUAAGGUAACUGCUUACCAAGGCGACGAUGCGUAGCCGACCUGAGAGGGUGAUCGGCCACACUGGAACUGAGACACGGUCCAGACUCCUACGGGAGGCAGCAGUAGGGAAUCUUCCGCAAUGGGCGAAAGCCUGACGGAGCAACGCCGCGUGAGUGAUGAAGGUCUUCGGAUCGUAAAACUAUGUUAUUAGGGAAGAACAAAUGUGUAAGUAACUAUGCACGUCUUGACGGUACCUAAUCAGAAAGCCACGGCUAACUACGUG
rnacentral:rRNA from 1 species